CAGGAUCCCCAGUGUCCCCGGCUCCUGUCCCGGGCCCUCCCCCUGGCCGGCAGAGGGAAGGAGCUUUCUACUUCCCCUGCAUGACCAGGGACAGGGGAACUGAGCAGGAGCGGGGAGAGGAGGAGGGAGCCCACAGAUGAGGAGCUGGAAGGGCCAGGGCCGGGAGCGGCCUGGUGUCACCCUGUUACAUGCUCGCACCACGCCCUUGCGGCAGCGGGAUAGCCUCCAUGCUGUAAAUGAGGAAACUGAGGCCCAGAGAAGCGGUCACUGUCCAGACGGGAUUUGAACCCAGAUCGGCCUUCAUCUAAAGCUCUUUUCCUCACCCUCAGUGUCUGCAGGGUCAACAGGAAUCACAACACAGAGCGCUAGCUCCCCGACUCCACAGGGUUCAAGUGUGAGCGAGAGGCACUGAAAGCGUGGAGGGUACAGGAAGAGUGAGACGGGGACGCUGUUGCUAGGGACCCAGCUCCCCGCUCCUGGAGGGACGACACUUUUCAGGUGGCAAAGUUCCUUUCACUACACACUAUAAAAGACUUUCCAGGCAGAGCUCCGACGUGCUGUAUGACUUUGGACAAGACACAUACCCUCUCUGGGCCUCAGAGAUGCAUGAGAGACCAAAGCAGGCCAGGGGUGAGGCUCAGACCCAGAGAGUGAGUCGCUGAAGGCCACAUGGAUGCCCUGUGUUCCAACUCCCAGCCUGGGUCCGCAGCAACCAGCUGUGCCCCCAGCCCACGGCCCGCCCACCAGGACAGGUGCCGUGGGCCCUCUCCCUGCCAGGCCAGGCAGCCGCAGGGGGACCAGAGCGGGUGGCUCAGCCUGUGCAGGCUCCAGAACCUGUUGCCAUGGCAACCCGGGGUCCAGGCCUGCCCUGCUCGGAGGAUGAGCCUGAAGCUGAGAUUUCCUUGGGCACAGGGAGAGGACCAGAGAUGCUCAGAGCGAGGCUCCUGCUCUGCUUCCUCUGCCCAGCUCAGGGAGGGCCUUGGGAAUGAAGCCCCCGCCCCCACCCCGCCCCAUGUUCCAGAUGAGGACAUCGAGGGUGCGGACUUGCUCCUCCAAGCCCAGCACUGGACGGCCGGACAGUCCUCCCAGGAGGCACAGCUCUGAAGCCCAGGGCGCUGGUUCAGAUCGUCGUGCGGCCACUUCCUGAUCCUGUGACUCAGGGAAGUCACGUGACUCUCCAGGACUCAGUUUCCCUGUCUGUAUAAUAGGGAUCCUGUACCCGGCUCUCCCUGGCUGGCCAGCUGGGUCAGGGGUGAUGUGUUAGUUCGAGACGUAUGAAUCCUGGUGUUUGGCCAUCUCUGACCCAUCCUUCGGAUCAGCGCUUCUAAAACCACUGUGCACAUGCGUAACGGGGGUCUUCUUAAAGUGCAGACUCGGACUCGGCAGGUCGGAGGUAGGCCUGGCACUGUGCAUUCCUAACAGGCCCCCAGGGGAAGCGGCUGCCGCUGGUCCACGGUCCACACUUGGAGGAUCAAUGGUGUAGAUCUGGACCAUGAGGAAAACGUAACAACUGUACUGUGUGCUGAGUGCCUGGCUGUGCCAGGCAUUGGGCUGGCACCUUUAUACCCAUCCUCACAUCCGAUCCUCACAGCAACCCUGCAAGGGAAAUGUGGUCAUCCUCAGUCUACAAUGAGGAAGCUGAGGCUCAGAGAGGUCAAUGCCCUGCCCAGGGACACACAGCCAAUAAGUGGCACAGCCAGGUGUCAAAGCCAGGCCUGUGAGGCGUCCCCACCAGGGUCCUCGUCCAUCCAUCCAAACCUUUGCAGAGGCUCACGAUCCUUGCCGCCAAGAAGCUCACAGCCCUGGCGGGGACCUAAGAUACACCCAGGACACGGAGACAUCCUUAGGUGGCCUCCAGGCAGCGGUGGGAAAGGACACCUUGCUACUUUUGGGAACUCACCCGUGAGCAAAGCUCCCCAGAGGGCACAUUGGACAACGGAGGAAGUGGGUGGGAGCUGGGUUGGCAACCUGGGACCAUGCUGGGAGAGGACAGCAUGAGGGGGGGUCCACUACUCCUUGUGAACCCCAAACUUGCCCAACUCCCUUCUCUCCUACCCACCUGCUUCCCUCCCUCUCCUACUGAACACACUUCAGAGUCCCCGCCUGGGCUACUUGCCCCCAGCAGAGGACGGCCAGGGGUCCCUGGAGGUGGCAGAACUGAAUGUCACCCCAUUUCUGUCCCUGACUCGCUGUGUGACAUUGGGUAAGUCACAUGAUGUCUCUGAACCUCAGAUGUUCCCUCUGAACACCAUGCUUGUACUGUGGGGACAGGUCUUGAAGAUAAAGGCCGUGUCAGACCUUCUACCAAAGGGGAGCUUCCCAAUGGCGGUGGGACAAGAUGGGGACUCGGGGUGGUAGGACGAGGCAAGGGAGAGGAGAGGACAAGGCCGCUCACCUUCCAUCUCGAGGGUCCCUGUCCAGUGUCAGCUCAGCCCGGUGGGCAGUGAGAGGAAGCUCCUUUAGCCAGCGGUCGGGCCUAAUGCCCACCAGAGGGCCCUCCCCAGACAGGGGCGGAGCUUGGUGAAAAUCUGUGGGUGAACUGGGCAGUGGUGUGUUUUCAUCUCUGCUGGGUCUGGGAGACGGGUGUCGAGGUCCAAAGAGGGAUGCUGGCACCAGGCUGCCCAGGUCCAAACGCCAGCUCUGCCCUGACUGACCCUUGACCUUGCAAAGCUGCUUCAGACGUUGGUUUGCCCCAUCUGUAAAACUGGGCUGGUGGGGGGCGGUCACACUCCUCUCUCACGGGCACGUUGUGAGGCUUAACUGAGUUAUCAGACCCGAAGGGCUUGGAGCAAGCUGCCGACACAGUGCGGGCCACGUGAACAUUCGCUCUUCAGAACAUUGACCAAACAUUGGUGACUUUGACACUGUGGCUGGCUUCUCAUUCUUCUGAGGCCCUCAGGUUCCUUGCAGUCACACACAGCUUCCUCUGGAAAGCCGGUGAGGGUCCGUGUGCGGUACCCCCACCGAGAGGGGCUGCCUGCCACCUGCCUGCCCCCUGUCCCCCUGCCCCCCUCCCCGCCAGAAUCCCCAAAUCCUCAGAACACAGCAGCAAGGACACCUGACUUGAAAAGGGCUGGCAACCCAGAUCCAGUCCUCAGCUUCCAGCCCCGGGGCGGGCGGGUCCUGGGGGCCACCCUCCUCCAGCCCUUCACAGCCGCCUCCACCUAGCUUGUGUAAUUUUUUGUGUGCAAAGUGACAGGAAAAGUUAGGCAAUCCAGGCCACACAGGGAGGUGUCGCAUAACAGGGAGAUGGCAUCACAGCCCUGGAUUCAAAUCCUGGCGCUGCCACUUCCUUGCUGGGUGAUGCUGGGCAAGCUGGUAUCCCUCUCUGAGCCUCUGUGCCUCCUCCCCCAAGGAUGAACAUGGUAAGACCAUAGGCCCUCUAGGAAGGGGGCAAGGACUCAGCCAGCCUCCUUCCUUUGCUGGUAAACUGGUAGUAAUUGCUGUCCAUCCCUCGUUGGGCGACAGUUCAGGGAAGGCGUUGGGCCCAGCGCGAAGGCCCUGUAAGGGAGCCUGUCAGUCCUGGAGGCCUUGCACAUGAGCAGCGAAGGCUGCGGAGAGGACGACCCUGCUCUGGGGAGAUCGGACCAGCACCAGAUCCCAGCGGGCUCAUCUCCCAGCCCAUUGGGCCAGCUCCCCUCACCCUGAGGGGCUUUGCUCCAUUUCCAGCCAGCUUCCAGGACAGGUAGAUCUGAGCUGCCCCGUCCAAACAUCCUCUUCCUCGUCUGGAGACUGGACGAGCUAAAAAUGCGGCGGCGGGGCCCAGGGAAAACAAACACUUCGCUUCCCUUGCCUUUGUAUACAGGACACAGGCCCAAGGCCGCAGAGGCCGGGGCUGUGGGCUCCCCCGGCGGCCCCAGGCCUGGGGGUUUGUCUGUCUGUCUGCCUUCCUGGGGUUCCUCCUGCCAUGCUGGUACUCAU
ensembl:lncRNA